rnacentral:rRNA from 1 species
AUUGAACGCUGGCGGAAUGCUUUACACAUGCAAGUCGAGCGGCAGCGCGGGGGCAACCCUGGCGGCGAGCGGCGAACGGGUGAGUAACAUAUCGGAACGUACCCCGUCGUGGGGGAUAACACAGCGAAAGCUGUGCUAAUACCGCAUACGACCUGAGGGUGAAAGCGGGGGAUCGCAAGACCUCGCGCGAUGGGAGCGGCCGAUAUCGGAUUAGCUUGUUGGUGAGGUAAAGGCUCACCAAGGCGACGAUCCGUAGCUGGUCUGAGAGGACGACCAGCCACACUGGAACUGAGACACGGUCCAGACUCCUACGGGAGGCAGCAGUGGGGAAUUUUGGACAAUGGGGGCAACCCUGAUCCAGCCAUUCCGCGUGAGUGAAGAAGGCCUGGUGUAAG